GACGAACCGUGCGAACGUUAUUCGGAAUCACUGGGCUUAAAGCGCGUGUAGGCGGGACGGCACGUCCGUCGCUGAAAUCCCCCGGCUCAACCGGGGAACUGGCGGGGAUACGACCGUCCUGGAGGGACGUAGGGGGACCUGGAACUUCCGGUGGAGCGGUGAAAUGCGUUGAGAUCGGAAGGAACGCCCGUGGCGAAAGCGAGGUCCUGGACGUCUUCUGACGCUGAGACGCGAAAGCUAGGGGAGCGAACGGG
rnacentral:rRNA from 1 species